rfam:Cavia porcellus supercont2_29 genomic scaffold, whole genome shotgun sequence.
AUCUACGGCCAUACCACCCUGAACGCGCCUGAUCUCGUCUGAUCUCAGAAGCUAAGCAGGGUCAAGCCUGGUUAGUACUUGGAGGAAGAAGGUACUUUCCCCU